CGUAGUGUAAGCUAAUACAAGCUUUUGGACUCAUAUUCCAAAAAUGGAAGUUAAAACCUUCCCCCUACUA
rnacentral:tRNA from 1 species